GGCUACUCCACGCAAAUGUGACUGCAGCUAGUUGCCAAAUCGCAAACGUUUCAUAUAUCAGAUGAGGACGUGGCUGCAGCCAGUGGUGAGGCCGAAGCCAGCACAUCUACUGCCAGCACUAACGACCAUAUAUGGCCUUAUUUAAAAAUUUUAAUUUGUUUAAAAGUUAUUUAAAAGUUUUCGUUUGUUGGUGUACAGAAUGACUCUUAUAAGAUGCAGGGUCUGCUUUCUUUGACACGAAUCACCAAAAUAAGUGCCUUUAAGAAUUCAACGUCAAAUUUGAAGCAACACAUUGAGGAAGCAAGCGCGGGCGGUUCUAAAACAGGAAGGCGAGGAUCAGGCUGAAGGUGAAUACGGAAGACAGAAGAAGGUCAGGUGAUCGGGCGAACAGUCAACACUGGGCAAGGCAGGUAAUCGUGGUCGAGACACAAAGUACAAGAUCCGAGAACCAGGUAAAUCCAAAACAAGUACCGAGGCACGACAGAGACGAGAAUUCUGAACGUUUACUUCGCGAGCUAGUACUGUGCGAACUUCCACUUAAAUACUGUGUUUGUGAGUGUGUGUGUCUGUGAUUGAGUGCAGGUGUCCGCAAUCAGAAUUCCGGAGAAUGUGAGAAUGUGUGUGUCUGGGAAGUGUAGUAAUUGUCGGCCAUGUUUGUAGUUCGCGCUGCACUCUGGGAACUGUAGUUGAGAGUUCGCCGCGAUGUGACAGAGCCCCCUCCAGGAGGGCUCACUCCGGGAACCAAAUCCCUUUGAGGCCUCCCUCUCCUCUGCAGUCCUGGUUUUGCUAGGUGAGCGGCAUGAAAGUCCCUACACAGACUUGGGUCCAGAAUGUCCUGGGACAGGGAUCCAGCACUGCUCCUCUGGGCCAUAUCCUCCCCAGUCCACCAUGUACUCUAGUUUACCUCUCCGAUGCCUGGAAUUUAGGAUUGUCCGGACGCGGUAGGCUGGUUGGCCGUCGAUUUCUAACGGCUCUGGUGGGGAGUCACCUGGCACCGCCGUGGAUAAUGGACCCAGUAUAAUUGGUUUAAGGAGAGAGACAUGGAAUGACGGGGUGAUGCUGCUAUGCUUGGGCAAUUCCAGCCCGUACAUGACCUUAUUAAUUUGUUCCUUGAUUCGGAAGGGGCCGAUAUACCUGGGGUUAAGUUUCCUGCCCGGGAGUGUCUGUUUCAGGUCUUUCGUGGAGAGCCACACUCUGUCCCUGGGUUGGUAGUUGGGAUGGUCCCUCCGGUGAUGAUCCACCUUUCGUUUGGCUGUGCGUGAGGCCUGCACUAGAUGUUGGUGUGUGCGUUCCCAAACCUGCUCACUCCGGUGGAACCACUCAUCAACCACAGGCAAGUCAGUAGGGUUGGCGUUCCAGGGGAAUAAAGGUGGCUGGUAGCCCAAGACACACUGAAAGGGGGUGAGCAGUGUUGCCGAGUGUCGCAAGGAGUUCUGUGCAUACUCUGCCCAUGGGAGGAAUUGGCCCCAAUCCCCCGGGUUCGGGGCACAAAAGGUUUGGAGGAAUCUAGUUAACUUCUUGGUUUGCCCGCUCUACCUGUCCAUUAGCCUGGGGGUGUUAACCUGAGGUGAGGCUAAUGGUGACACCUAUCUUCUCCAUGAAGCUGUCCCAGACUCUUGAUGUGAGUUGUGGACCCCUAUCACUCACGAUCUCUUCCGGGAUCCCGAAGUACCGGAACACAUGUUAGAACAGCAGCUCAGCUCAUCGAUCACUAGGAUUGUGGUGUUCCCCUGCGACUCUAGCAAGUCGGUGAUGAAGUCUAGGGCCAGGUGAGGCCAUGGGCAUGCCGGGAUGGGAAAGGGCUUAAGCUUACCAGCUGGAAGUGUACGCGGUACCUUAGCCUGGGCAUUUAGAGCAUGAGGACACUAUUAAUUGUACCUCCCUAGACAUAUUGGGCCACCAGUAUUUCUCGGCCAAUAAUCGGUAGGUAGAAGAACAGUGAACAGCGGGCCUGGCGAGGCAUGAGAUGUUUGGCUGUCCUCAGAUACUCAAGGUUCUUAUGGUCGGUAUAGAUAACAAACGGGUGCAUGGCACCCUCCAGCCAGUGCCUCCACUCCUCCAGCGGAACUCCACAUAAUAAUUGUGUUCUGGUGAAGAUAACUUGUUGGAGAAGAACACCACGGAGUGCAGCUUGGGCUUAUCUCUGAGCCUCUGUGAGAGAAAGGCCCCUACCCCUGUUUCCAAGGCAUCAACCUCCACAACGAAGGGUCUGGAGGGAUCAGGGUGCCUGAGGAUGGGGCCGUGGUGACGGCCCUCUUGAGCUUGUCCAGUGCCUCCUGGUCGACUGGGGUCCAAACGAGUCACCUUGGCUUGCCACGUAGGAGGGACGUCAGGGGGUGUGCUAUGAUACUGAAACCUCGAAUGAACUGUUGGUAAAAAAAAAAGUUUGGGGUGUGGGCCAUUCUACCACCGCUUGAACCUUCCGUUGGUCCAUGGUGACCCCCUUCUGACUGAUGACAUAUCCCAGGAAGGAGAUUGUGUGUUGGUGGAAUUCACACUUCUCGGCCUUUACGUAAAGCUGGUGUUGCAGGAGGCGGCGCAACACCUGCCGUAUGUGGCCAAUAUGCUCCUUUAGGGGCACAGAAUACACCAGGAUGUCAUUGAUGUAUGUAAUGACGCUCUUCCCCAACAUAUCUCUA
ensembl:lncRNA